UUUUUUUAAUAAAUAAAAAAUAACACACUUUUGAAAAUCAGUUAUGAAUAAGCAUUAAACGAUCCCCUUCGAUAUGAAGAAUGUGACCUCCUACGGUUAUUAUUCCCAGGCACGGGUAAGUUCCAAAAAUCGAAUAUUUGGCCUAUGCUGAGCUUCAUUAUCUUCUUCAACCGGAGAACCCUCACUGCUAACUGCGGCAGAAGGAGCACGCGAUGGUCGACGACUGCGCGAUUCGGAAACAUUGUCAGAUAAGAGUCCAUUUCUCGUAUCACUACUGCUUUCAUUGUUCUCGUUGUAAAAUGGAACUAUACCAGGCCUGGGUAUGUUAUCAUCCUCACUUUCACUGUCCCCAAUAUUAGUAAGAACUUGUUCACGACGACGGCGUUCUACACUAUUUUCACGCAAAUGAGAUUCCGAAUUUUGCCUUGAGUAUCUAGGCCUAUGAUUCUCAAUAGAACUCUCAAUAUGUCCAAGAGUGGGUUCCCUUUGUCUUUCGUCGUCCGGCUCAUGUAAAUUACGUUGAAAAGUAUCAUAGGAACGUCGUAAGAAACUGCGAAACUUGCGACCAAAACUUUUUGCCUUCGGAUCCCCUUGAGCGAGUUUUUCAUCAAUUGAAGGUCCAUUUGCAUCUCGAGAACUGGUAUGCGAAAUAAUGUUUCCUUGAGAAUCUUCAACGACCAAGUCUUCGCCAAUAAGAUAUGUCUCGUCACCAGGAUUCAUUUCUUCUUCUCUAUCUUCCUCAUUCGAGCGGCGAGGUUGCCGAGAUUCAUAGUCUUCAGAAGGAAAUUCUUCAGCGUCAUAGUGGCCUCCGCGUGGUGAUUCAGCACGUUCUUCCCGUAGAUGUGCGGCUUCAGGAAGCGAGACAGUUGAUAUAUCAGCAUCCUCAUCUUCUUGAAUGUUUACAGGAUGACGCCUUCUUAUGGAAGAAGCAAUAGAGUUGGCAGAGGAGCGCAACGCAUCAACUCUUUUAAUUGGUAAGCUUUGUCCUUGACGAACACGAGGUAAGUUAAAAGCAAAAUGAGAGUCCCUUGUUCUCGUAAACGACAAAGCCAACGUAUUAAUCCUUUUACCAAGCAUGAAAAAUGCAAUACUGCUUCCAUGAACAAUGAUAGAACUUAGAACCAGGAAACAAACUACUGGCCACAUUACUUGUAUGCAAUACCAGUUUGGAAUUUCAGGGUUUUCGAUAGCAUCAUUAGGCUCAGGUACAGUGCUAUGUACUUCUAAUUCGGCUCGUGCAACCAAACAAGUAUACAGUGCACCUACACCAAUAGGACCAAAAUGACCAGCAAAGAGAGCUUCUCGCCAAUUGAUAAUAUCAGGAACAAAUGAUUUAAAUAAUAAAACGGCAGGAAUUCUCCUUGCAAUUAAAAUACAUAUAGCCAAUACAACGAGUCGCCAUACACUCAAAUCCAUAUGUGGCAUGUGAAAUUGAGGCCAGGGCAUGAUAGCACCCACGUAUACAAAAAAGGAAAGAUUGAGAAGAAGGUCGAUAACGUUGGAAACAUGAGAUUCUUCUGUUUUUUUCGAAAACCAUGAGUCCCAAGAGAAAGCAGCACCAGCACAAAAAGAAACUAACAAAUCAUCGACACCAAUGAUGGUACCAAUACCACCACAAAAUAGUGCUAAAACGAAGUAGAAUACAAGAAAACUUUCACGAUCCAUUAAUCCUCGACGUUCCGAAAAUUUAAUCAUCUUACGGGCUAUUACACCUAUUAUUGCACCUAGCACACAGCCAAAGGUGCAUUCGUAUAAAAUAAUGAUACAUACCCAAUCGCGGCCAGCAUGUCGGGCAGGUUUCUCAAUAAUUAAAUAAAUAGCUAAAUACAGAAAAGGAAUUGCCAUGCCAUCAUUACAUCCAGAUUCGGCCAAAAGCAUGUUCCUAAGAUGACCUGGGACUCGACGUGCAAAUUUACCUUUACCGACAAUAGAAGAAGCCAACACUGGAUCUGUCGCAGUAAUACAUGCCGCUAUAGCUAAUGACUCCAGAAAAGAGAGUCUGGGAAUUAAAGCAUACAUGAAGCCAGUACUUACUAGCCAUCCAAAAAUCAUAACAGGCAAAAGCAUAACAAACAUACUGCGCCAAUGUCGAAGCAUAUAUGCUCUUGGAAGUUCAGCGCCAGCUGCAAAAACUUCGACAACUAAAAGGACUCGAGCAAGUUCCUCGGUGAUGUAGUCGGUAUUACCCCAGCUGGUGGGAACAAACAGUUUUGCAACGUAAGGACCAAAAAUGAGACCCGUAGCAGUUGCCAUAGCUAUAUUAAGUUAGUAUGCUUCACAUAUAUGAAGAAUUGAAGAGUAAAAAUAAUAUGGUGGAAUAUGCACACUGAAAUAUCUAGAGAUCGCUCUUUAUUUAACGAACGUAAACCGAAAGAAUAAUCUGGAAUU
rnacentral:lncRNA from 1 species